rnacentral:misc_RNA from 1 species
CCGGAGUUUACAACUCCCAAACCCCCUGUGAACAUACCACUUGUUGCCUCGGCGGAUCAGCCGCUCCCGGUAAUAACGGGACGGCCCCGCCAGAGGACCCCUAAAACUCUGUUUCUAUAUGUAACUUCUGAGUAAAACCAUAAAUAAUCA